rnacentral:rRNA from 1 species
AAAUGAAUAGACGGGCACCCGCACAAGCGGUGGAGCAUGCUGUUUAAUUCGACGAUACGCGAAGAACCUUACCAGGGCUUGACAUCCCGGUGACCGGUCUGGAAACAGAUCUUUCCCUUCGGGGACAACGGUGACAGGUGGUGCAUGGUUGUCGUCAGUUCGUGUCGUGAGAUGUUUGGUUAAGUCCAAUAACGAGCGCAACCCUCGUCUUUAGUUACUAACAUUUAGUUGAGGACUCUAAAGAUACUGCCGGUAACAAACCGGAGGAAGGUGAGGAUGACGUCAAAUCAUCAUGCCCCUUAUGUCCUGGGCUACAGGCGUGCUACAAUGGUUGGUAUAAUGAGAUGCAAGAUCGUAAGAUGGAGCUAAUCUAGAAAGCCAAUCUCAGUUCGGAUUGAAGUCUGCAACUCGACUUCAUGAAGUCGGAAUCGCUAGUAAUCCCAAAUCAGAACGUUGGGGUGAAUACGUUCCCGGGUGUUGUACACACCGCCCGU